CACUGGGCUCCACAACCACAUUGGAGCUGGAGUGACAAGGAAUAGCAUACUGGGGAAUGGCCUGAAAGAGAAGAUAUGGGAAACAAUCUUCACAGUAAGAAAAGGUAGGUGCUUACGCCGCUGAGCUAAAUCCCCAGCCCCCUUGGUAUCAUGGCAAAUUUUGAGAAAAGUACUACAAGAACUACCAAGUCAUAUAGCACUGAAUUUAUGUAAGUUUCCUACAAGAAGAACAAGAGGAAGAAGAGAAAGAAGAUGAAAAGGAGAAAGAGGAACAAGAGGAAGAAGAAGAAGAAAAAGAAGCAACAGCAGCAUAUAGCCUAAUGAAGAAGAAAACAAUUAUAAUAAACAACAAGUACAAAAGGGUCAACAUUACUAUAGCUGAUAGUAUACAGUAAUACUGUAAGAAUAAUGUAGAAAGAAUAAUGAACCCUCCUCAGGAUAACAAGGGAAGUCUCACAUUAGGAUGAUGAUAAAGGCCCAUGUUCUAGUCUAUGAAGUGACAGGUCAGGAAUAAAACAUGAUUUUAUUCUUUGGGAAUGGAGAAACUAA